rnacentral:rRNA from 1 species
CCUACGGGCGGCAGCAGUGGGGAAUAUUGGACAAUGGGCGAAAGCCUGAUCCAGCCAUGCCGCGUGUGUGAAGAAGGCCUUCGGGUUGUAAAGCACUUUCAGUGGGGAAGAAAGCCUUGGGGCUAAUACCCUCGAGGAAGGACAUCACCCACAGAAUAAGCACCGGCUAACUCCGUGCCAGCAGCCGCGGUAAUACGGAGGGUGCGAGCGUUAAUCGGAAUUACUGGGCGUAAAGCGCGCGUAGGCGGUCUGAUAAGCCGGUUGUGAAAGCCCCGGGCUCAACCUGGGAACGGCAUCCGGAACUGUCAGGCUAGAGUGCAGGAGAGGAAGGUAGAAUUCCCGGUGUAGCGGUGAAAUGCGUAGAGAUCGGGAGGAAUACCAGUGGCGAAGGCGGCCUUCUGGACUGACACUGACGCUGAGGUGCGAAAGCGUGGGUAGCAAACAGGAUUAGAUACCCUAGUAGUC